rnacentral:rRNA from 1 species
AUUGAACGCUGGCGGCAGGCCUAACACAUGCAAGUCGAGCGGAGUGGCGGACGGGGGAGUAAUGGCUAGGACUGUGCCACGUCGCGGGGGAUAACGACGGGAAAUGGGAGCUAAUACCGCAUACUAUCAGACUAGCCUAUGGCGGAUUAGCUAGUGGGUGGGGGAGGGGCUCACCAAGGCGACGGUCAGUAGCCGGUCUGAGAGGAUGACCAGCCACACUGGAACUGAGACACGGGCCAGACUCCUACGGGAGGCAGCAUGGGGGAAUAUUGGACAAUGGGGGAAAGCCUGAUGCAGCCAUGCCGCGUGUGUGAAGAAGGCCUUCGGGUUGUAAAGCACUUUCAGCAGGGAGGCGUUACCCGCAGAAUAAGCACCGGCUAACUACGUGCCAGCAGCCGCGGUAAUUC